rnacentral:rRNA from 1 species
AUUGAACGCUGGCGGCAUGCCUUACACAUGCAAGUCGAACGGCAGCACGGAGCUUGCUCUGGUGGCGAGUGGCGAACGGGUGAGUAAUAUAUCGGAACGUACCCAAGAGUGGGGGAUAACGUAGCGAAAGUUACGCUAAUACCGCAUACGAUCUAAGGAUGAAAGUGGGGGCUCGCAAGACCUCAUGCUCCUGGAGCGGCCGAUAUCUGAUUAGCUAGUUGGUGAGGUAAAGGCUCACCAAGGCAUCGAUCAGUAGCUGGUCUGAGAGGACGACCAGCCACACUGGAACCGAGACACGGUCCAGACUCCUACGGGAGGCAGCAGUGGGGAAUUUUGGACAAUGGGGGCAACCCUGAUCCAGCAAUGCCGCGUGAGUGAAGAAGGCCUUCGGGUUGUAAAGCUCUUUUGUCAGGGAAGAAACGGUGAAGGCUAAUAUCCUUUGCUAAUGACGGUACCUGAAGAAUAAGCACCGGCUAACUACGUGCCAGCCGCCGCGGUAA